CAACACAGUAACUUUAUGCUUUUAUUGUGAAAAGAGACAGAACUCCAAAUUAAACAUGACACAAGUCAACGGCAUUUCUACAAUUUGAUGAUCACAGCUUCCAUCUUUAAAGAACUGGAAGUCGUAAAAAGUUAAAGAUU